rnacentral:sRNA from 1 species
UUUAAUUGUAAUCUUUAAGCCGCAAGGCUUAGGGCCC